CUACGUGCCAGCAGCCGCGGUAAUACGGAAGGUCCCGGCGUUAUCCGGAUUUAUUGGGUUUAAAGGGAGCGUAGGCCGUGGAUUAAGCGUGUUGUGAAAUGUAGACGCUCAACGUCUGACUUGCAGCGCGAACUGGUUCACUUGAGUGUGCGCAACGCAGGCGGAAUUCGUGGUGUAGCGGUGAAAUGCUUAGAUAUCACGAAGAACUCCGAUUGCGAAGGCAGCUUGCGGGAGCACAACUGACGCUGAAGCUCGAAAGUGCGGGUAUCAAACAGGAUUAGAUACCCUGGUAGUCCGCACGGUAAACGAUGGAUGCCCGUUCUUCGUUCUUUUGAAUGAGGGACCAAGCGAAAGCAUUAAGCAUCCCACCUGGGGAGUACGCCGGCAACGGUGAAACUCAAAGGAAUUGACGGGGGCCCGCACAAGCGGAGGAACAUGUGGUUUAAUUCGAUGAUACGCGAGGAACCUUACCCGGGCUUGAA
rnacentral:rRNA from 1 species